UACGGAGGGUGCAAGCGUUAUCCGGAUUCACUGGGUUUAAAGGGUGCGUAGGUGGGCAAGUAAGUCAGUGGUGAAAUCUCCGGGCUUAACCCGGAAACUGCCAUUGAUACUAUUUGUCUUGAAUACUGUGGAGGUCAGCGGAAUAUGUCAUGUAGCGGUGAAAUGCUUAGAUAUGACAUAGAACACCAAUUGCGAAGGCAGCUGGCUACACAAAUAUUGACGCUGAGGCUCGAAAGCGUGGGGAUCAAACAGG
rnacentral:rRNA from 1 species